rnacentral:rRNA from 1 species
CGUAGCAAUACGGCACCGGCGAACGGGUGCGUAACGCGUACGCAACAUACCUCUAAGAGGGGGAUAGCUUCUGGAAACGGGAGGUAAUACCCCAUAGUAUUAUUUGGUAGCAUUACUGGAUAAUUAAAACUCUGGUGCUUAGAGAUUGGCGUGCGUCCUAUUAGAUUGUUGGUGAGGUAACGGCUCACCAAGUCGAUGAUAGGUAGGGGGCGUGAGAGCGUGGUCCCCCACACGGACACUGAGAUACGGGUCCGACUCCUACGGGAGGCAGCAGUAAGGAAUAUUGGUCAAUGGACGGAAGUCUGAACCAGCCAUGCCGCGUGAAGGAUGAAGGUGCUACGCAUUGUAAACUUCUUUGGACGGAGAAGAAACCCCUGCCUGCGGGCGGGGCUGACGGUAUCCCGUAGAACAAGCACCGGCUAACUCCGUGCCAGCAGCCGUGGUAAUACGGAGGGUGCAAAGCGUUAUCCGGAAUCACUGGGUUUAAAGGGAGCGCAGGCGGUUGGAUAAGUCAGAGGUGAAAGCUCUAUGCUCAACAUAGAAAUUGCCUCUGAUACUGUUUAACUAGAAUUAAGUUGAGGUAGCGGAAUGCAACAUGUA